UACGUAGGGUGCGAGCGUUAUCCGGAUUCAUUGGGUUUAAAGGGUGCGUAGGCGGCUUUUUAAGUCAGUGGUGAAAUCUUGCCGCUUAACGGUAAAAUUGCCAUUGAUACUGAUAAGCUUGAGUACAAUUGAGGUAAGCGGAAUGUGUAGUGUAGCGGUGAAAUGCUUAGAUAUUACACAGAACACCGAUUGCGAAGGCAGCUUACUAAACUGUCACUGACGCUGAUGCACGAAAGCGUGGGGAGCGAACAGG
rnacentral:rRNA from 1 species